rnacentral:rRNA from 1 species
UACGGGGGGGCAAGCGUUGUUCGGAAUUACUGGGCGUAAAGGGCUCGUAGGCGGCCAACUAAGUCGGACGUGAAAUCCCCAGGCUCAACCUGGGAACUGCGUCCGAUACUGGAUGGCUUGAAUCCGGGAGAGGGAUGCAGAAUUCCAGGUGUAGCGGUGAAAUGCGUAGAUAUCUGGAGGAACACCGAUGGCGAAGGCAGCCCCCUGGGCUGAGAUUGACGCUCAGGCACGAAAGCGUGGGGAGCAAACAGG